rnacentral:rRNA from 1 species
UACGGAGGGUGCGAGCGUUGUCCGGAAUCGCUGGGCGUAAAGGGCGCGUAGGCGGUCUGCUAAGCGUGUGGUGAAAGCUCGGGGCUCAACCCCGAGUCUGCCAUGCGAACUGGUGGACUGGAGCACUGUAGAGGCAGGUGGAAUUCCGGGUGUAGCGGUGGAAUGCGUAGAGAUCCGGAAGAACACCGGUGGCGAAGGCGGUCUGCUGGGCAGUUGCUGACACUGAGGCGCGACAGCGUGGGGAGCAAACAGG